rnacentral:rRNA from 1 species
AACGAACGUUGGCGGCGUGGAUUAGGCAUGCAAGUCGAACGAAUCCCAGUUCUGUAGCAAUACCGAGCUGGGGGAAGUGGCGAAAGGGGCAGUAAUACAUGGGCAACCUACCACGGGGACGGGGAUAGCCUUCCUAACGGAUGGGUAAUACCUGGCGAUUUGGUUGAGGGGCAUCUCUUGACCAGGAAAUGAAUUUCGCCUCGGGAGGGGCUCAUGCGAUAUUAGCUUGUUGGCGGGGUAACGGCCCACCAAGGCAAAGAUGUCUAGCGGGUGUGAGAGCACGACCCGCGCCACUGGCACUGAGACACUGGCCAGACACCUACGGGUGGCUGCAGUCGAGGAUCUUCGGCAAUGGGCGCAAGCCUGACCGAGCGACGCCGCGUGGACGAUGAAGGCCUUCGGGUUGUAAAGUCCUGUCGAGGGGGAGGAAAGCCGAAAGGUUUGACCUAUCCCUGGAGGAAGUACGGGCUAAGUACGUGCCAGCCGCCGCGGUAACAC